UUAAGCACAAGAUGAUUUAUUUGCUCCCACAAUUGGGAAGUGCAGGGGUGAACUUGGCUUUCAGCGUAGACGGAUGGGAGGCUUGGCGAUGACAGCAGGGCCAUCCUUCUCUUCUUCUCUUGACUGUUUUCCUCUGUGUUAGCUUCCUUCUUGGCAGCAAGGACGAUGACCAUGGAGUGCCUCUUUCCCAGUGCUUCCAGCUAAAUUCCAAGGCUGACUCUCAUUGGGCUGACUUAGGGCCCUUGCUCACCCCAGAACCAAUCACUGUGGGCAAGGGACUAGAAUACUGUAAUCUUGACCAGACCGGAUCAUGUGCCCGGGCCGUGGAGAGGGAUGGCCAGCCCCACCCAAACUAUAUAAAAGAGGGGCAGAAAGGUGAUGGGGCAAAAGAUGAGGAAGAGAUGUUGGACAGGUGAAAACAACAGCUGUUCACUACCUCCACUAACCCGAAUGUACACAAAGGAAAUGGAGAGGGUUGCAGGGGUAUAAAGAUAUCUGUGUACACGCUGAGCCCUUGUAUAAAUAAAAAUACUGCCUGGCCAAAGUCUACCUUGUGUGCCUUAGCAACAAAAUUUUGCUUUCACAUAAAUGAGUGAUUAAGACAUACGCUAUAGGACUUCAGAGGAAGCGAAGAGCUAUUUAAAAUGGUUUUAGGCUUGAUUGAAUUGAGCUUAGAAAAGAAUGGAAAGAUCUGGAAAUGCGAUGAGUCAUUGGUCGGGAACAGGAUUCCCAUAGAACAGAGCAGAAAAGGUGGGUGGUGAGGAGUUGGGUGGGAUCGAGGGUUUCAAAGCCAGACAGAGUUUAUCCUGUAGGUCACAAGGGCCAAGGAAGGUGUGGGGACAGAAGGGUGACAUGGCUAAAGAAGUCCUGUAGGCAGACUAAGCGGGCUGAGAUAUGUAGGUUAGGGGGUAGGGGCACAAACUGGAGGCAGGAGACUAGGAAGGGGGCUAUUGCAGGACGCAAGGGACGAGGCCUGCGGUGUGGCAGGAGCAGUGGGGUGGGAAGUCAGGGUGGAGGCCACAUACGGUGAGAAGAAAUAACCAACAGGAUGUAGUUGUUGAUUGCAUGGCUGAGUCCAAGAUGAAGGGAAGUAAGAAGGUGACAAAGGUGUGCUUCCAGGAGCUCCCGCUGAGCCCUAGCAUCUGCUCCAGCCGGACUGGCGCACAUACUUACUAUGAGCCGCUGGACCUACCUUGCCAUCACGUUCAUCCCACGAGUGUGAGACCACAGCUCCUGGCGGACAGGGCAGGGUCCUCUGGCGUCUGUCUGGUUCCCAUCUCUGUGCCAGUCUGCACCUGGCAGGGUGCCUGCCCAGAGUAGAUGCUGCAGAGGGAAUGAGCAGCCCCUCCCCUGGACACACAGUUGACGCUUGCCUUCUUACCAUUGUUCAUCACACUUGUGUGCAAGUGUGCACGCCUUCGCUCCAGCAACAGCUUGAGGAGGCCGCCAUGAAGCCCUCCGUGGUCCUCAGCAGCAGAUGACAGUGUGGAAGAGCCCAUUUUCUCCCCGCAGAUCACACCAUGCCUGGAGAACAGUGUUUGGCUCUUGUUUGACUCUUAGGAGGGAACUGAACAAGUAAGAGGUGAUGCAAGGAGGUGUCUAGGUUAAGGAGGGGAAUGGGAACCAUGUUCCACAGAGACAUAGCUGCAGGAGCUGGGAGUGCAAGGCCUGGAGAAGAGACACCGCCUGCCAGGAGGAAGAAGGGACAUUCAUCUGUGUGGUCCAAGGGAUGCAACUGGAACCCGCAGGAAGGAGCCCCCAGAGACUUCUGCUCACCCGUAAGCAAGGGCUUCCCAAAACUUCGAGCUCCGGGCAAGUGAAAUCUGUAGCAUCAUCUAGGAAGUCUCGGCUUCCGGUGAGUGAGGAAGGGUUCAAGGCAAAGGUCAAGGGGACUCGAGCAUCAGAUGGAUUGUCAGAGCCUCAGAAACACGUCCUGUGGCCCUACUGUGUGCAAUGCACACUUCACCUCAUUUAAACUCAUAAAGACCCUGCCAGGCAGGAAUGGGAAAGUGCCCAAGUGCACACAGCUGUGAAGGGAAGAACUGGAAUGGGAACCCCGUCUGCUGGUGGGACUGAGCGUAUUUACGCACGUUCUGCUCCGCAGCCACGUGUGACCAAAAGCUGAAGGAUAGUGAAGGCAAGCAAAAGAAUUCUGGAGCGACUUCCUAACAUUGUGAAGUUGGGCAAAUUACUUAAUUUCUCUGAGGUUCCUUUCCCUCUGCCAAAAAUGCAGAUAAUAACUACCCAAGAGGCCCGAUAUGAACACUAGAUCAGGGAACAGUGCCCGGCAGUCGGAGGCCUUCCAUCAAUGUUAGCUUGACUGUCACCACCCCUCCCUGCUUGUCCUCUGCCUUUCCUAAAGCCUUCCUCUGUGCAGCUUGCCCCACCCUUUCAUCGACGUCAAGACCAGCCCCCGUGGAACUCGUGGUCUUGUUCGCACGGCUUUGACACAUUUGUCGUGGGAGAAUUUAAGCCCUGGUGUUCCCCUUGCAUGAGGGAGCAGUGUCUCAUGCAACUUUGUGUCCUCUGCAGGGCCUGCCCAGCCCAUGAUUGGUGCUUAGGCUGGAGAGAGAGCUGGCUCAGGGGGGUUGAGGGUAACUAGAGGGAGGUGGAACAGUGAUAAAGGGAAAAAUGCAAAAAUCUGCCACCAUGCAAAACAGAAGCUUGCAUAUCCAAUUCCUGGGGAGCUAGCCAUGCAAACCGAGCCCUGCCUGUUGACCCCCCUCCCCUUCCCCAACUCUCAACCCAGGCCUGCUGUGACCAUGAUGGCGGUGGCGGUGGUGGUGGCGGAAAAGAUGGUGAUGAUGAUGGCAGCUCUCAUUUGUUGGUUCCCACUAAGCAUCAAAGUGUCAGAUCUCUUACGUGUAUUAUUCAUAACCCUAAAAUAGCCCAUGAGGAAGGUAAUAUUACCCCCUUUUUACAGAUAAGGAACUAAAAGUCCUUCAAGACUUGACCUCAGUCUGGGGUCAGUCCAAAGCCUGCGCGAGCUCUUCCUCCAGCGAUGCUCUUUCACAGAGUCAGUGUGCAGUUAUCCCCAUCAAGGGGAGCGGUCAUGUGGAUGCCCCAGAAGAGAAGAUCCAAAAGCAUUUUUCUAAUUUUGUUUAGCAAUCUGAAAAAUAUAUAUUAUACUCAUUCAGUUAACAUUUGUUAAACAUCUAAAUUACCUCUCCUAUCUUAGGGAUUCUGACAGACUUAGGAGACCUCUCCAGCAAAAGGAAAGUUCCAUGAUGACAGGGACCUUCACUGUCUUGUUAACCACCAUGUCCACAGCAUUAGAAAGUACCUGGCAGGCAUUCUACCAACGCACGAUGAAUGAAUUCACAAAUGAUUGACUCAGCCUGCGCCAUCGUGUGUGUGUACGUGUGUGUCUGGAAGGUGAAAAUGGGCUGGGCCUGGGCCAGCCAAGGCCAGUUUAGCCCCAGGGAAGCGUUAGGUAAGCUUCCAUGGCAACACAGUUCAGUGUGUGUUUUCUGUGCUCCCAACAGAAUUCCAGGCUGAGCGCGUCUAUUCCCCAAGGCCUCGCUGCCUCCUUCCUUGUCUCCCCAGGUCUCCCGGGUAAUCAUCUCGGGGAAACUAAGAGAAGCUCAAAUAGCAGAAGCAGCCUCAGAACAUGGGAGGCAGAGGAGAGAAAGCUCCACCCAGGGAGAGGGCCAUUCCCCUCCCAGACCAGUGCUUCUGGCUCAGAAGUGUCCACCUACAGAAGUCAAACUCCUUGGGCCUCCUCCCAGACCCCUGGACCCCAUGGCUCCCACAUCCAGCCACACUAACCCUCCACCCCCAGCCGCCCCACCUCAUUCAUGGUCUGACCCUGUUCCACUUGGCAGCCAGCUCCUACGUAAACUCUCUCUCUGCUAUGCAGUUCACCAGACCAGGGGCCCUCCUGCUCUCUCUGUCCCUCCAGCCUGGCUCCACUUCAAACACCUCCUUCAGGAAGCCCUCCCAGACUUUCCUUCCCAGGCUUCUCCCCCAAGCCCUCCAGCAUGGAGUCUGAUUGAGCAUCCCCAGCUCUGACUUGGUCUCCCAGAGUUGGGCAUGGGUCCAGGUACCCGCAAUGGCCUAGGAGUUCCCUUAAGGCGGUAACGACAACUUUUAAUCCUUACAGAAACUAUGAAGCAAGCAGCAUCUCCAUCUUAGAGCUGAAGCAACAGCCUCCAGGUUAAGCAUAGCUGGCACUCAAGCAGUAGAAAAUGGGAGAGACAGAACCAGACCCUGUCUGCCUCCGAAGGCGAGCCUCGCUGCCCCACACCUCCCGCUCUCCCCAUCCCUCCAAGAUAGUACCCUGUGCCAGGCACUCCCUGCACCAUAGACUUUUUACAACCCUAUUUAAUCCUCACCACUAAACCUACCAGGAAAGUACAAAUGGCCGCAGAUUAGGAUACGGAAGCUCAGGAACUUUGAAUACAUUUCCUAAGGUCACAGAGCACACAAGUGCCUGGAUCAGAAUUCAACCCAACUCUUCCAAUGCCAAACGAAAGGUAGUUUUCCUGGUCCUCUGGGUCUAGCCAAAGACAGGCUGAGGGGUGCCAGAAUGCAGAUUCUCCAGGCCAGCAAGAAAGCUUUGAUACUGACCCGCCAGCACCUCUGAUAAAGGAAGAUGCCUUCCAGGAGCCUGCAGAGGCUGCCCUGCUGACUGCAGACACUCAGGAAUUCCGGGCCAACUGAGCACUGGCUGGCUCGGGGGCUGACCUCCCGGCUCCGGCCUUGGCACUCACCCUGUGAGCUGACACACCCUCGGGUCUUUCACUUCUGCAAAUUCCGACCACCGCCUCCAAAGUAAUCUGCGAGUUGCGAUAAAAUGAAAUGAAAUGAAAAUUAAUUUUCAUUUUGAGAAUUGAUUAAACAAUUCUUAGAACAAUGUGGAGUAGCAGGAAAACAACUUUGGGAAUCAAAUCACCCCGGUUCUAGUCUCAACUCAGUCUCUCAAUUGCCGUGCGACACUGGACAAGUCACUUCCCCUCUGAGCUACAGUGGUCUCAUCUGUCUAAUAAAGGAGCAGAACCAUUUAUUUACAAAAUUCCUUGAAAUUAUGGUUUAUUAUUAAUUACCGUUAAAUCCAUUUGGUAUUUAGAACUUUGAAAAGUGAUGGAAACGUAGUGGAGAAAGCAGUAAACUUGAAAUCAUACUUGAUUUGGGCUCUCAGCUUUUACCCCCUCAUAUACAAAAUAAACUAUGUGAUGAUAAUGUUUGUAAGAGAUUCUCUUUGCCCCCUGUGAAGUUCCUCUAUAGGAUUCCUACUGUGAUGGGAAAAAAUUGCGAACUCCUCCCCAAGGAUUCACCUUCCUCCUGUCUUCCGUCUCCUUCCGCUCAGCUACAGGGCCCCUGUGAUGACACACACCCUCAGCUGUACUCUGGGGUCCCCCUUAGCUCCCUCCCACUGCAGUAACAGCGGUGAACAUAACAGCAUUGAAAGGGAACAAAAGGAUAGACUGAAGGAAGGACUGGAUAAUCCAAGGUGUAGUAGGAGUAGAAAUGAGUGACUAGGGAAGGAAGGAUGCUCCUUUGAAAAAGGAGCUGUGCUGAUCUCUUCUCACUCAGCCCUAGAUCAGAUCAGGCCCGCCCAGGAGCCAAGAAAGAGCCGAGAACGGGAGGGGCAGGCCUCAAUGGGGCAAGCACAGAACAAGGCCAGGACACGAGGAGAGGAAGGCCAGGAUAGGAGGAGAUAACCUCUGGGGGAGGAGGUGCUGAGCAGGUUUCUGCCAAGGGUGUUCUCAGACGGCCUGCAAUUCCUGGAAAAGACUGAGUAAGGCAGGGUCUUGACCCGAGGAAUGCAGCUGGGGGUGUAUUUGCACAACUGACCACCUCACAGAGAAGGAGCCUAUCUGGGCCAUAAACCUUAUCUCCCGCCUCGGGAGAGCUAGGAUAGCUAUUUCUGCAUUCCCAGGCACUCAGGCUGAGUCAUAGCUGGGGGUUGGGGGCAUGGUGGGCCUGGGCAGCAAACCUGAGUCACUCCAGGGUGUGUGGUCCAUCGAAAAUGAGAUGGGAACAAAGGGGAAGAAGAGAUGAUCAGGACGACUGGCCCCAACAAGGGCUAAGGGUCUCACAUUCCUACCAGCCAGCCAGCCCCAGGCCAGCAAGUUCCCUCCAGGAAAGUUAGGUCCCGGGCUGCACAACACUGUCAUCCUAGUUAGCCAUGUGGUACUGUGCUCUAGGGUUCACGCACAGGUCUUUCUGGGGCCUAAUGGCUUCUUGCUCUUUCUGCCACAAUUAACUGCUUGUCUAGAUUUGAAAACCACAGUUAGCUCACCCUCUCUCUUAGAGGCCAGGAGCAGGACCCAGAAAGCCCAGGAACCUGGGUCACAGUUCCAGUCCUGUCUUCCUCCCCUCUCCCACCUUAUUACCCUGAGCUGGGCCCCGGUUCUUGUGGAGCGAGGAGGAGAAAGGAGGCAGUGUUCCCCUGUCUUCGGUGUCCCUGAGAAGUUCUCCACUUCCCUGUGCCGUUCCCUCCUCCUCCUUGCAGGCGGGUGAGACUGGCCUGACGACUGACGACAACGCGCUGGUGUGGACAGCCCCUCGGCAGAGUGGAGGGGAGGUGACAUCACCAUCGCUCGCCCUGAAGCUCUGGACACGCACACACUCUCCCUCUGCCCCUCUGUCCCUGUCUCCCGCCACCUCCCCCACUCGCUUUGCUCCAG
ensembl:lncRNA